UAUAAAAAUAAUUUUUUAUUAAAUAUAACUUAAAUACUGGAAAAUUAAAUUAACUUAACAUUCGAUGAUACAAAAUUUAGUCUAAAACACUAAAACACCAAAAUCGUUAUAAAUCCACAACAUUUGCAGUCUUAUAGAUGGCCAUGUAAGAUUAUAAGAGACACAUUUGGAUUUUAAAACUCAAAAUCAAAAUACAAAUGCAGGAGUAUUGGACUGAUUGAAAAAACUUCAAACAUCGUAGUUUAUCCGUCUAGAUCCUACUUUCUAUGGUGUGGAGGACGGAGGUGAAAAAAAAAUCACAUCUACCAAGCUAUAGUCGACAUAACCACAUAAAAAAAAAAAAAUACGGAUCAGAGACGAAAUAUGGACGAGAUACACAAAGUUCAAAUAACAACGUCGACCAUUUCACACAGUUUGCUUUGGGUCGAAAGUAGUUUUUGUCACAACAUAAAAACGUCAAACAAUAAGAAGUGUUAUUUCAGAGGACCUGAAACCUGAUUCAAUUUUAAACAUUGUUUAAUAUUUAAAAAACCUCUACUACUGCUUUAAAACACAUUUCGUGCCGAUUAUCGACGGUGCACAAAUGUGAAUGCGAACUGCGUGUCCGCAAGGAUCGUCCAUAACAUCGAAAAUAACAACAACUGUACACUAUGAUGAUAUUUUUGAUUAUAAUAUCAAUAUCAGUAGAAUAAUAAAUGAUUUUUUACUUAACCAUUUGUAAAAAUAUUUAGGUGCCUAUAUUAGUUAACUUUUAAGUUCCAUCUCGUUCAUCUUGUUCCACUGCCCCUAAUGCACCCCACGUCAACAACCAAAUAUAGAGCUAAUGAAUCUAGAAGGCGUCUAAUUUCAACUGACAAUGCAAAUCUUGCUUUAACCAUUUUUAUUAUAUAAUUAUGUAUGAUUCUUCAUUAUAAGUCAUUUUGAUUUUAUAUUAUCUUUUACCUUAAAUGUUAUAUGUUCUAAAUGGCCCAGACUGUAUAAUUAAAA